AGAACGAACGCUGGCGGCGUGGCUAAAGCAUGCAAGUCGAACGGAAAGGCACUGAUGGAUCCUUCGGGUGAAGUUGGUGUACUCGAGUGGCGGACGGGCGAGUAAUGCAUGGGUAACGUGCCUUUGGCUUGGGGAUAGCUGUGGGAAACUGCAGGUAAUACCCAAUAAUACCAUGACUCCAUCAGGUGAUGUGGUCAAAGAUUUAUCGGCCUUAGAGCGGCCCAUGUCCUAUCAGCUUGUUGGUGAGGUAACGGCUCACCAAGGCAUCGACGGGUACCGGGACUGAGAGGUUGACCCGGCGCAUUGGGACUGAGACACUGCCCAGACUCCUACGGGAGGCUGCAGCAACGAAUAUUCCGCAAUGGGCGAAAGCCUGACGGAGCGACGCCGCGUGUGGGAUGAAGUCCUUCGGGAUGUAAACCACUGUCAGGGGUUACCAAGCUCUGAGGAACCCCAGAGGAAGCCACGGCUAACUUCGUGCCAGCAGCCGCGGUAAGACGAAGGUGGCAAGCGUUGUUCGGAAUCAUUGGGCUUAAAGAGCGCGUAGGCGGCCCGUUAAGUGUCUUGUGAAAUCCCUCGGCUCAACCGAGGAAUGGCUGGGCAUACUGGCGGGCUUGAGGCAGGUAGGGGCGAGUGGAACUCUUGGUGGAGCGGUGGAAUGCGUAGAUAUCAAGAGGAACGCCGGUGGUGAAGACGACUCGCUGGGCCUGUCCUGACGCUGAGGCGCGAAAGCCAGGGGAGCAAACGGGAUUAGAUACCCCGGUAGUCCUGGCCCUAAACGAUGUCUACUAGGUCGGAGGCACUCUGACGUGGUUCUGGCCGGAAUGAAAACGUUAAGUAGACCGCCUGGGGAGUACGGUCGCAAGGCUA
rnacentral:rRNA from 1 species